rnacentral:rRNA from 1 species
AUUGAACGCUGGCGGCAGGCCUAACACAUGCAAGUCGAGCGAGCGGCGGACGGGUGAGUAAUGUCUGGGCAACUGCCUGAUGGAGGGGGAUAACUACUGGAAACGGUAGCUAAUACCGCAUACCAUCAGAUGUGCCCAGAUGGGAUUAGCUAGUAGGUGGGGUAAUGGCUCACCUAGGUGACGAUCCCUAGCUGAUCUGAGAGGAUGACCAGCCACACUGGAACGGAGACACGGUCCAGACGCCUACGGGAGGCAGCAGUUGGGAAUAUUGCACAAUGGGCGCAAGCCUGAAGCAGCCAUGCCGCGUGUGUGAAGAAGGCCUUCGGGCUGUAAAGCACUUUCAGCGAGGAGGCGUUACUCGCAGAGGAAGCACCGGCUAACUCCGUGCCAGCAGCCGCGGUAAUUC